UACGGGGGGGGCAAGCGUUGUUCGGAAUUACUGGGCGUAAAGGGCGCGUAGGCGGCCUUCUAAGUCGGACGUGAAAUCCCUCGGCUUAACCGAGGAACUGCGUCCGAUACUGAAAGGCUUGAAUCCGGGAGAGGGAUGUGGAAUUCCAGGUGUAGCGGUGAAAUGCGUAGAUAUCUGGAGGAACACCGGUGGCGAAGGCGGCACCCUGGACCGGUAUUGACGCUGAGGCGCGAAAGCUAGGGGAGCAAACAGG
rnacentral:rRNA from 1 species